UGGGGAAUAUUGGGCAAUGGGCGCAAGCCUGACCCAGCCAUGCCGCGUGAGUGAUGAAGGCCUUAGGGUUGUAAAACUCUUUCGCCGGUGAAGAUAAUGACGGUAACCGGUAAAGAAGCCCCGGCUAAUUUCGUGCCAGCAGCCGCGGUAAUACGCAUGGGGCUAGCGUUGUUCGGAAUUACUGGGCGUAAAGCGCGCGUAGGCGGGCUAUCAAGUUGGGGGUGAAAUCCCGGGGCUCAACCCCGGAACUGCCUCCAAAACUGUUAGCCUAGAGGAUGUGUGGAGAUAGUGGAAUUCCGAGUGUAGAGGUGAAAUUCGUAGAUAUUCGGAAGAACACCAGUGGCGAAGGCGACUGUCUGGCACAUUUCUGACGCUGAGGUGCGAAAGCGUGGGGAGCAAACAGGAUUAGAUACCCGCGUAGUCC
rnacentral:rRNA from 1 species